AUAUUAUUUUGGACUUUCAUCAGAAUGUUUUCUGCUUUGAGAGUCGCUAUUGUUUGGUGUUUGAGUUGCUACGUCCAAGACCUCUCCAUCAAUACUUUGAGAAAUGUCAGUUUGAAAGUGAGGAGGCAAAUUUGAAAGUGAUCAGAAAAAUAAUGUUACAACUUUUACAAGCCCUUGGAUUCCUAAAAAGGUGAAUUAUGGAGGCUUUGAACAUAGACAAUACUGACAACUGCUCAAGACGGC